GAUCAUGGCUCAGGAUGAACGCUGGCGGCGUGCCUAACACAUGCAAGUCGAACGAGAUGCGUAUCGGAAAGCUUCGGCCGGAAGAUACGUUAUCUAGUGGCGGACGGGUGAGUAACACGUGGGUAACCUGCCUUAUGGAGGGGGAUAACAGAGAGAAAUCACUGCUAAUACCGCAUAAGCACACAUUGCCGCAUGGCAGAGUGUGAAAAGAUUUAUCGCCAUAAGA
rnacentral:rRNA from 1 species